rnacentral:rRNA from 1 species
AACAAACGCUGGCGGCGUGCUUCAUACAUGCAAGUCGGACGAGAAAGUACUUCGGUACGAGUAGAGUGGCGCACGGGUGAGUAACGCGUAGGUAACCUGCCUAAUAGAGAUGGAUAACGCAGCGAAAGUUGUGCUAAUACAUCAUAAGCUUUAUGAGAGGGGACGAUUAUAGAGGGAAGGUGGCCUCUGACACAAGCUACCGCUAUUAGAUGGGCCUGCGUUAGAUUAGCUAGUAGGUGUGGUAACGGCGCACCUAGGCGAUGAUCUAUAGCUGGUCUGAGAGGAUGAUCAGCCACACUGGAACUGAGAUACGGUCCAGACUCCUACGGGAGGCAGCAGUAGGGAAUUUUGCGCAAUGGGGGCAACCCUGACGCAGCAACGCCGCGUGAGUGAAGAAGGCCUUCGGGUUGUAAAGCUCUGUUUAUGGGGAAGAAGUUUAUUUGUGCUAAUAUCGCAAGUUGAUGACGGUACCCGUGGAGGAAGCACCGGCUAACUCCGU